rnacentral:rRNA from 1 species
UAUUACCUACGGGGCGCAGCAGUGAGGGAUAUUGGUCAAUGGGCUUACGCCUGAACCAGCCAAGUCGCGUGAGGGAAGACUGCCCUAUGGGUUGUAAACCUCUUUUGUCAGGGAGCAACGCCGGCUACGUGUAGCCGGACUGAGAGUACCUGAAGAAAAAGCAUCGACUAACUCCGUGCCAGCAGCCGCGGUAAUACGGAGGGGGCAAGCGUUAUCCGGAUUUACUGGGUGUAAAGGGAGCGUAGACGGCAGCGCAAGUCUGGAGUGAAAUGCCGGGGCUCAACCCCGGAACUGCUUUGGAAACU